AUGGAGGUUUCCCAGGCUAGGGGAGUUGAAUCAGAGCUACAGCUGCUGGCCUACUUACACCACAGCCAUAGCAACAUGGGAUACAAGCUAUGUCUAUGAUGUACACCACAGCUCAUGGCAACGCUGGAUCCCCAACCCAGUGAGUGAGGCCAGGAAUCAAACCUGCAUCCCCAUGGAUACUAGUCGAGAAUAUAUGAGGAACCGCUAUACUCAAUAAGAAAAUAACAAUCCAAUAGAAACAUGGGCAGAAUAUUUGAAGAGGAAUUUCACAAAUGAAAUAACGUGGCCAAAAAAUAUCUGAAAAAAUAUUCAUUAGUCAUCGGAAGACAUGGACGGUUUCCUGAUGUUUUCAUUAGUUAUCCCAUGCAAAUUUUUAACCACACGAGAAGCCAUUUUGUUGUCACAAAAUAAAUAAAUGAACAAAAAUUAGAUCUGACAAUAUCCUUAGUGGAAGUAUAAACUGGUGCAACCACCUUGGAAAACGGUUUUUACUUUAUCCAGCAAGGUUUAAAAUGUAUAUACUCUGUGAGCCAGCAAUUCCACUUCUAUAUAUAUAGCUUAGAACAACUCUUCCAUACACGCAUCAAGAGACAUGAAGAGUAUUCACUGCAGCAUAAUAUUCAGUACUCCCAAACCGGGAAAAAUACUUUUCCAUCAGCAAUACAACUGAAGCAUAGGUUGUGCUAUAUUCACAUAAUGGAAUUCUGAACUAUAAUGAAAGGAAAAUGAAUUGUAAUACACACAACACAGAGAAAAGAAGCAAGUCACAAAAGAAGAUGUAUACUCUGCUUCCAUUGAUAAAAAUAUUCAAAAACAUAUAAAAUCAAACAUUAUGCCAUUCAAGGAUUAAAAAUGUGAUACAACUGUAAGUAAAAGCCAAAGAAUUACAAGUACAAAAUUAAUGAUGGUUACUUCAUAUUGAGGAGGGAAUGGAUGAGAUCAGGGAGGCAUUCAAAGGCAAUGCUAACAUGUUGUCUUCUUUAAACUGGAUGGUGGGAAUACAAGUUUUUGUUAAAUUGUUAUGUGUAUACUUCAUUACUUAAAAAUCUUACUUUCCAUUGAGUAAAAUUUGAUAUACAAAUUAAAACUGUCUUUCACAUAAAUAUGUGUAAAGUACAAAUCUUUACUAUAGAUUUCUGAUCAUGUGGCUCAUGACGGAAAAAAACACGUGGCUCCGGGUUUCACACCGUCAUUGAUACUGUCUCCAGGAAGGCCCUACUGACAUGCUGUUCCUGAGAAGAAGGAACAUCCUGGCCAUUCUGUUUACAGAGUACUACUGACUCAGGCUGCCAUAACAAAAUACCAGAGACCAGGUGGCUUAAAAAAUAAAAAUUUAUUUUCUCACAGUCCUGGAAGCUGGAAGUCUAAGAUCAGGGUGACAGCAUGGUCAGGUUCUAGUGAACUUGCCGGCUUAGAGACAGCGGCCUUUGUGCUCUGUCCAUACAGCCUUUUAUCAGUGCAAACAUGUGGAGGGAGAGCAAGUUCUGGUGUCUCUACUUAUAAGGGCACUAAUCCAAUCGUGAGGGCCACACCCUCAUGACUUUAGCUAACUUUAUUUCCUCCCAAAGGCCCCAUCUCCAAAUAUCAUCACAUCAUUAUAUCAAUCACACUUGAAUUCAGGGGAUGGGAGGACAAAACAUUUGGUCCAUAACAUAUAACCACCCAGAUUAGCUAAUUAUCACUUUGGCCAGUUGAGAGGGGUGGAGGCCCAGAGGCCUUAUGAAGAAUAUGUGUUUUUAGAGGGUGAGAAUGAGAGUGAAGAAAGGUCCCAAGGAUUCUUAUCUUAUUCCCUCCAACAGGAUUGAGGGUUUGCUUAGCUCUGGGGACUUAGAAGGCCACUGCUUCUGAAUCCCUUUGCCAUGGUGGCACCUGUCUCACAGGGUCCUCAGGUUUUCUGUGCACAUCCUCUCCACCUUGCAGCUGCUGGCCCUCCCCGGCCAACGGAUGAGGAAGGAGAACACUGUUUCUGUGCAAUUCCCUAAAUAGGCACUUUCUUCUAAGAGAACUCUUCCCCAGAGAUUUCCUCGACAUUUCCGACGACAGAGAGUCCACAAGCUUGGGACUGGGGAAAAAGGCACAAAAAGGAACAGCUUUAAAUUUGAAAGCAGAGAAAAUUAAAAUCCUGCCAGAAGUAGCAUAAGAUGGGAAAGGAUGGAGAAGCUUCUGCUUUUGGUCUCAGUAUCGGGGUUUCAUAGAACAGAUGUCUGGGGGUUAUUUAUAACUUAGAACAAGCAGAGCUAAGAUCUGUGAAAUGCCAGUGGUUGGCUGACAAUGGAUAAGGCCAGGGUAAGGCCUGAUGACUCCACAAGGACUCCUGGCAUGUGGGUUUUGUGUGUAUUUGGGGAGGGAGAAAAGUUAUGGAGCCUGAGUUCCAUCCUCCAGGCUAGGGGAGACGCCUUCCAGAGAAUUGUUGCUUUCAGGAAUAAUAAAGGUCCCACUAAUAACAAUAGUAAUAGUAAUAAUAAUAACAACAACAACAUGUUAUUAGCUGACUGGGUGCCAGACACUAAGCUAAGUGCAUUAUUACCCCAUUUGCAAAAUGAGAAAACUGGGGCUUUGUGAGGCUAAGAAACCAUCCUAAGAUCUCGUAGCUAUAAGCAGUGUCUGUCUGGCACCCUGGCUUGUAUGGGAAGGGGGAGAGGCCAAGGGUGUAGACAUCUCUCCCUGUCACAUCAGUCCUUAACCACUUAAAGAAGCAAGAUCACAGGGGUAUAAAUCUGGACCAGGAAUUUGAUGGGUGCGGGGAAGGAGACAGGGCACUGGCAGGCCCAGGAGAGGUGCAGAAGGGAGGCUCUGAACAACACAUGUGUGUGUACAACCAGGUGACCACCCAGAUAAAGGCAGUGAGGCUAUGUAUGUCGAAAAUAUCAAGUGCUUAUUAAAUAAAUAUCCUGGCUCUUGAGGACAAUGCAGGUAGGCACUGAAGUCCAAAAUGACUUACUCUGCCAUCUGUCACCUUGGGCAAGCCACUUCCUUCUCUCUAGUUCUCUGUGACUCCUCUUUAAAACAAGACAAUUGGUCUAAGAUGCUUCCCAGCUCUGAACAUUCAUGCAUCUCUGAUUUCGACAUAGCAUAUGUGGGGAAGGGGAGUUCUGUGGAUAUCAGAAGUCAGAAGUCAAGCUCUUGGCUAUCAAUCUCCAAGGCCAAGAGCCAAGCCCAAAGAACAGACAGCAAGCACAAAGAAAAAGGAAGACAAGUCAGGAGGUGCCAUCUGCUCUAUGUGGCAGGGAGUGAAGUGCUAUGAACACCACUGAACAUGCCAAAAUCUACUCCAAGGGCUAUGGCGCUGGUGCCAGGCAUGCCCGCCAGUGAGUGGAUAGAAUGCUCCCAAAUUCAUGACUCCAGAAGAGAGGCUGUAUGUCUCAGAAUAAACAAAGGCCCAGGCAACUGAUGCAGCUCACCUACUCCUCAGGCUCAACAAUCCUCUUGAAGGUCAAGGUAUUCAGUCUCCUGCCUCUAUUAGUCUACAAUUCUACGUCUCUAUAAAUCACAUCUUCAUUUUUCCCCCAGUGGGUAUAUCAUCAACAUCCAAAGGGCCAGGAAUUCACCCCAGGACACAGGAGCAUGUGGGCUAUAACAUUCAAGUCAACCCAGAGGAGAAAUGACCCCUGAACUCUCACUCUGUGCCAUAGAAGGGACUUGCUUUCAUGAUAUGGACACCACUGUCUAGCUCAGCUAAUUAGUAAGCAUGUAGUGGACAGCCACCAUGUGCCCUUGCUGGGUACUUACUGUAUACCCACUCUGAAGAGGAGGUGGUUACCACGGUCAUCCAAGGCCUGAGUCUGAGGUAGCAGACCUUAAUGGAGGAGACUGACCACCGACUUUGAGGUUGGUCAGGCCAAAUUCUAAUCUUGCAUUUACCUUCAAUUAGUACCAUUAGAAACUAUAACUCCCAGUCUGAAAAUUGGAAUAACACAAAAUAGUUAACUGUGUAUAAAGUAUUUAUCAAAAAUACUGAUAAACAGGAAAGUCCUGCGUGAUAAUGUGGCUGUUAACAAUUAUACGGUGAUGAUGGUCACACUGCCCCCCCUGAAUUAAUCCUACUCUAGGCCCAGGGUGCUUCCUUGACUACCCAGCUCCCACUAAGUCACACCAGAUGGAAAAUGCAGCUGGUUAUGGGUUCAGGAAUCCAAGAAAACAUUGCCCUUCAGUCCGGGACCAGGAAACAUGAGAGCCUCACUAGCAAACAAAUGAAACUGUCACUUUCAGAAAUCUGGACACACUCAGGGAUGAUGAGGCAACUGGAGAUGUGGGAAUGGCAGGUGCCCGAGAUCCCGUCCCAGUCUGGUCUCCUGACUUACCUUCCAGUGCCUCAACUUCACUAUCUGUAAAUACAGGAAAGCAAACCGUAGGCUGAGGUGAACUAUGGUUAGAAAAUUGAAGUCAGGGAUAUGUCUCUAUUUUUAAAAGAUCCAAGAUGGGGUGAGAGCAUAGAACAAAAAAGUUGGUGAAUGUUUGUAUGUGUGAACUCCAUGGGUGAUCAGAGAGUGUGAGGCUUGAUGCUUUAGGAAUGGAAACAGUCUGCUUAGGAAAAGUCCCUGGGUCCAGGAAGCAGGUUCACCCAACUACACCUUUACCGCCAGGAAGCCAAUUGCUUUCAGAGGCAGAAAAGCAAAGAGGUCUUUCUUUGGGCUGGUCCAAGCUCCCACCAAGAGGGGAAUGCCGAGAGGCAACAUAGCUCAGGGAAAACACUUCAGGCACCAGGAUCUGGAGGGUGGAAUGCAACGUUCCCACAGCCUGCUAUGCAGGGAACGCAGCAGAUGGAACUGCCCUGACUCAGGGAAACAUUUGGUUCCUUGUCUCACACCGACUCACUGGAGAGGAUUGUGAGAAGGCCCUAGAGAUAGACAAACAAAAAAAGACGGUCAGGAAAGGGCGAGCCAGGAAGCUGUGCACAAAUUUCCCAAGAUCCUUCCAGAGGCCUUGAGCAGGUGGUAACAAAAGGUCAAAGCUGGAUGAGACCUUCCAGAACACAGAAUCCAAUUCUUUAAUUUUACAGAUCAGGAAACUAUGGGCCCUAGAGAAGUCAGUGCAACACAAUGGAAAGAGGCUAUGGAGUCAGGGAGACGUGAACUCAUCACUUAAGAGCUGUGUGAUUUUAGUGCAAGUUUCUUAACUUCUCUGAGCCUUAGAUUUUUCCCUUUGUAAAGGGAUUGUGUCACUUCUAAGAAGUGAAUGAGGUAAUGUAUGUGUACCAAUUAGCACAGUGGCCAGGACACCCUAGAGACUCAGUAAAUAUUAGCAUCCGUUUCAGGGUCACACUGGGGUUAAUAGAAGACCUAGGACUAGAAUCCAAAUGUCACGACUCUUGACCUAAUGCCUUACACAUUCUACAACCCAGCUCCAGAGAAGCGUCAAAGACAAAACAUGCCUGUGAUGUGCCACUACGGGUGGGGUAGAGAGGGAGUAAAGUGAUGUUAGAAGGGAUUUUCUCAUAACCAAAGAAUGGGAAUGUAUUACCAAAGGUUCCAUUUUGGGAGCUUAUUUAAGUGUGUGCUUGGAAUGGAUUAAAGCCUGGGAAUGGACUAAAUGUCAUCUUGAUGACCCGUUUGGCCUGCAGAUGCUGGAAUUCGACUUACCAGAGGCAAGGCUGGUUAUGCCCUUCUCUAAACCCCAAAAAGAAAGGAAAGGAGUAUGCAGUCAUUCAUUCAAAAUUUAUUGAGUACAUGGUAUGCCCAGAGAAACAAAGUUUCUAAUUACCAUUUUGCCCAUGAGGAAACAAAGAUUCCAAGAUGAUAAAUGAGUAAAAGGUCAUACAACCAGCAAGUAUCAGGGUUAGGAUCAAGGCCAUCUUGAUCUGACCUUUGCCUUGGAUUAUACUGGAUCUCCUGUCUUUUGAUGGAGAGAAAGAAGUAAGCUUGUGUCUGGGGCUGACAUCUUCAGAACGGUGUGCAUAAACAGAGAGUCUAGGGCCAAUGCCUGGCUUGCCCCUUCCUAAGGGUAGAAGGAGUCCUUGGAGGCCACCUUGUCUCUGGAGUUUCCCAGCUCGCUAUGGGGGCCACCUGCCCUGUGUAGGAAUCUCUAUCUAGGACCCCAUGACUCCCUCACCAGGACUAGACCUCUCCCAGGACCUCUGCCCCAGACAGCCUUACUGCCCAGGAGCUCCCCUGGACUGCCAUAUUCAUAUCCCUGUCCUGAGUGAUGAGGGAAAGGCACAGAUGGAGCUCCUGUGUGAUGGGGGAGAUAUAAGGGAACCCCCACUUUUAGGGGAGAUACAGCGCCUCUCCUCAGAGAGCUCCCAGGGUGAUAGGGUGACAGAAUAAACACUACUGUUCUCAGGGAGCUCCCAGUGUGAUGGGGGAGACAUGGACAGAGGUAGGUUCAAUAUUAAUAAUGGAGCUAAAGCUUACUGAGUACAUACUACAUGGCAAGCGUUCACAUAAAUAUGAACUCAUUUAAUCCAUACAGUGACU
rnacentral:lncRNA from 1 species